rnacentral:misc_RNA from 1 species
UUUAGCUCCCCAGUCCCCACUAAUUUCUCCGAUGGAUAUUUCUUCUUCAGUUUCAAAGUUCUGUUUUCACUUGAUUUCAUCUGCAUUUCAAAGAUGCCGUGUGUCUGAACAUAUUUGUAGACUAUCUGUUGUUCUCAAAUCUUCUCCAGCUUCCGAUCCUCCCAUCAUUCGGAUUUCAAUUUCUGAUACUGGUAUUGGGAGCAGCUUGGAAGAGUUUCAGAACCUGAGGUGCUCCUGGGAAGGCAUUGGCGUGGAAAAGUGGGGUAAACAGCCACAUUUCUGAAUCAUUGUAGUUAUAAUUUUAAGAAAAAAAAAAUGUAAAUCUCUUUUCUCAUUGUAAAGAACAUCAAAUCCAUUUCAGUUUGUACCGGUUCAUUUUAAAUUUUAAUUGAUUGUUUGACGUUAAUCCUUCUGGUGCAGAUGGGUUGCUCUCUGCCACAACUACCAGUAAGUUCUCAUAAGAAUGAUAAUAUUGUAGUGAUUAGAACCCAUAGAGUUGCUGAAUAAGUGUGGCAUAUAUUCUUCUCUUUCUUUUUCCUUCCCUUCCUAGGGAGGUUAUUUUCUAUCACAGUUAAUGGUCUACUAGCAAAAGGUAUGAUUUAAUUGAUGAUGCAUAUUCUUCUUCUUAUUUAAUUUUCACUUCUGGCUACCAUUUUCUAUGGGGAUUGCAGGCUUUUGUGAUAAUGAGGUGCAUCAUUUUCUUUUAAAUUUAAGAGAAACCAUUUGUGGCAGAAGACUGACUCGGCUACCUUCAAAUCCUAAGAAUGGCGUAAAAUUCAGGCAUCAAACAUUCUUUAGCUACUGAGUUUUUCAGGUUAUUGAGUUUUCGUUAUCCCAACUGAGAUAUUUGGUACGAUACUCCUCUCCAGUGGAACUGAAGUAUGUCUGUCCAUUUCUGAGAGCAUUGAUGUUUUAACUGCAGAGAUCAAUGAUUUCUUUCAAAAGGUUCUCAUUCUAAAGAUACCUAAUGUUGCAUUUGAACUGGUGGCUGGAUGUGAGGAUGUCCCUGGAUCACAAUAUGAAAAGGUCUUUCUAGCAAAUGAGAGCAAUCACUUAACUUUUUCAACUUCAAGCGUUGAGUGUCUGAAGUCAGGCCUUGAAGAUUAUGUUUUAAAGCAUGGACAUAGGUUAAAUCACAAUUGCAAGUCAUGCUUCUCAACUUGGGGGCAUCUUAAGGUUGGAAGUGGAACAGCAUGCAGCCUGGAAAGCCAUAAGAAUUCUGGAUCUGGGCUGAUGAUGGAAGUGGUAAUUAUAUUAAGCGAGUUAGAGCCAACUUGUCCUUCAUUUAGGGAAUGCAUCUCAAAAACAGAGGUCUAUAUCAUUUUCCUCUUUUUUCCCCUGCUUCUUUAUGAUUUUCUUUUUCUAUUUAUAAUGUUGUUAGAUAUAUUUUGAUAAGAAGUUUCAGCAAAAGGAAAGUUCCGUUUUUAAAGAGAGGGAUUGGCAAAAUUAAAUUAAUACUGCAUGUGUGGUGCUAAACAGAGAAAAUUAAAUGUGACAAUCAUUUCUAGUUUUCAUUAUUUUGGGCCUAACAUUAUCAGCUGAUUUUGAGAACAUAUGUGACUCUGCAAGUAAGCAUUCUCAUAUUGUGUGUUUGAGACUUCUAAGCAUAUUUUUAUGGGUUGUUUAAAGAAUGUCUAAUGUUUAGAUGUGUGUGAAAGCAUAUUGGCUGUUGUAACAUCAAAUGCUGUAACAUAAAUGGAUUUUCUUGAUCUAAACUGUGAACAAUGAACUGAAAUUUGAUGACUCAGAUUUCAAGAAAAAACCAAAACUGAAGACAGAAGGCUUGAGGGAGACAUGCCCAAGUUAUCUCAAUCUCUUCUCCAAAUUUAUGGAAUGCUAGUAAAUCUUAACACCUAAUUGAUCACUCCCUCCAUUGCAAAGAGGGGCAGUCUCCGGUUUUUGGGGACUUGAGUGAUGCAUUGCUUCCUCUUUUCCCCCUCUUUUUGGUACAUAAAUGUUGCAUGUGUGAUUACUUUGAAGUUUGUAAUAUUUGUUGCUUUUCUUAAAUACAUUUGUUGACGUGCUACAUUAAUUUCUAGGUAUUAUAUUUUGAAGAUUACAAACCUUGCACAAUUUCCGAAUCAAUCCUAAAUGCAUUGGCUAGCAUUGACUGGAAAAGUUAUGGUUUGGCUGGAGGGAACAUUGUGGAUAGAGGAGGUGACUUGCUAGGAUGGGAGAACUUACCACCUCAUACUCGUCUAACCAUGGUCCUUCACAGCUAUAACAAACAGGACAUAAUACCACCAGCAAGGUCUAGGACUCAAACUGAUCGUUGUCUUAUAAAAAGAGCAGUUAAACAUGCAUUGGAUGAUCUGAAAGAGAAACAUGCUGGAAUUCUUGUAAGUGCAAAUGCCCUCAAGAUUCGCAGUUAUGCCCCUGACCUUGCAAGAUCUAUUGCGGGCCUCAUCUUGUCAUCUAAUGAUUCAGACUUCCAAAAAGAAUGCUUUUCUCUUCUUGGUUUGCAGUCCAGAGAGAUUGGAGAGGAAACUGUUGAAGAAAGUAUUAAGGAGAAGAUCAUUUCAGUUAUAGAUAUGAAUGAUAGGAAGUCCCAGAGAAGCAAAGAAGUGGCAGUAGCACCUGCACCUCUUCUUUUUGAAGACAACCGCUGUUGGAAUUCAAAAUUUCAAGAUGAGGAAUACGAAGGUGAGGAUGAAUUUUAGUGACUUGGAUUAGCAAUUAUAUAUUUUACAUUGAAUAUUAUUAUCAACUACUGAGACACCUACAAUUAAAGAUAUGUUAGCACAUACUGAAGAUUUUCUCUGAGAUCAGCAGCAUGGAAUUGAAAGAGGCGCCGCAUCUUAAAAGUGAAUAAUAUAGUCUGGCGUUAAAGCCUCGCAUGAAAAGGAAAUUAAUCUUUAUGUUUACUAGUAACGAAAGUGUCAAGAAUUAAAUCAAACAUCAUUCAGAACAGAGAUUUUGGUUUAUCUUAAUAAUACUUGCAUAUUAUAGGAUAAUUUGUGGAUAAACUUUGAAUCUCAUACACAUAUUUAGUAUUGGGAGAAGCAAGAACCUAUAGCAAAUACGUUCAUACCUUGGAUAAACAUUUAGAAUUAGUCUAAUUGAUACGUGGGUUUAUUUCACCUCAGAUGUCUCCCCUUGUUCCUUGGGUCGUCUAUCUUUUCACCAUUCAUUGGGCCGUUGCCUUUAAUACCAAACGGAGUGGAAUGUGUCAAUUUUUUAAGACUCCCACUUGGAUUGCUCUCUUUCUUAGCCUCAUUGGCAGUAUCUUCUUUCACAUGUGGAACGUUCCUUAAGCGGGCCCGAUUCGGGAAUCUAUGAUCACCAAUAGGGAUCGGUCAUGUGCUGGUGGCAAGAUGGUCCAGCCCUAGCCAUCCACAUCAAGGUCACACAAAAAAUGCUACAAGUGCUUUACAUUUCAUUAUUACUGAUUAUGAAAGGCUCACCAAUUUUUAUAACCAUAUGGUCUUAAAAAUUCUACAAUAUAUCAGAAAGCAAUGAAAUCAAACACAGAUUAAGGAGUGGUUGAGCGUUGGGGGUUUAUUUUGUAAUAUAAGAAAAUGAAAAUUUUGAUAUUAAUAAUUUUUUAAAAAUUAAUAUUACGAAAAAAAAAACAAAUUAAGAAGUAAUAUCACUAGAAUAUACCAAGAAAAUAUCAGGACUCACAGGAUGGAAACAAUUGGCCAUGGAAUGUACAGUAGAGAACAUCUAAUAAAUAUUUCCUUUCUACAGAUAAAAGUUGCUCAAAUAUAUAUUCCAGACAAAAGUAAUACAUUCUUUUGUCCACACUUUAUAAGUAUUUUGUGUGAAGUUAGGUAACACAAGGGGAGAAAAAAAAGGCUAAGUAGCCUUAAAAAAAGAAGGAAAAGAAAAAAGAAAUUAAAGGUAUAUAUAACUAUUUAUUUUAUAUAUAAAAUAAAGAAAAAAGGAAAAGGGUAGGAUUACACCAAACUUUUAAAUAUUCUCCUUAUAAAUUUAUCAAGCAGCAGAGGGUGCAGGGAUGUAGGAAAUGGCAGGCUCAGGCAUGGAAGCCAUAAUGGAUGUCCUUGAGAAAGUUUCAUCUUCUGCUGCUGCUGCUACUGAGUUUUCGGGCUUGUAAUCAAGCGACUCAUCGUUGUAUAUAUCCCACCAUUUUUUCACUAGCAUCUUGAUGUCCUCCCUGUCCAUGUUAGCUUCCUUCCCAGUAUACCUCCACGGUUUUGAGCCCUGUUUAUAUAUUCAGAAUAAUGAAAGAACAAAGCCUAAUGAUUAGCAUAAAAUUAACAAAGAAAUGAGAUCAUGCAUGAGACUAAUCUUAAUACUUACAGCAGCACAGUAAUGGGCCACCUUCACUUUUUCCACCUCCACGUUCUCAGGAUGGCGCCAUAACAUGGCUAAAACUAGGUUGUAAACCAGAGGAAGUGGCUUGUAAGUCUUCUCGAAGAACAUGUUCAAGAAAUCCUGUCAUGUUUGUUCCAUCACAAAGAAACCAAUUAACGAACUACAUUGUAAUGUCCUUCUAUCUCUCUAUAUAUUAGCUUAGUGAUAGUGCAGUCUUUAAAAAUUAUAAUGGUGAUUAGGUUAGGAUAAACUAUAACUCACUUGCUCUGCAAAGGGUGUCGGAGGGGUGAUCUUGAGAGCGUGAAGAAGAUUGUCGUAGGUCAAACGACUAGGCUCGAAGACAAACAUUCCAGCGUUGAAGUACAAGGGAGGAGGAGAGCCCAUGUCUGCUGGCCAUGGGACUCUAUCAGGGCACUGCUGGCAGUACCCAAUUUUGUGUUGAAGGGAAUAGCUCCAUGUUUUCUCACAGAAGCAAUCCAUAGUUGCGUAGAAGUAGCCAUCUGGAGUGUCGAAAAGAUGGUCUAUAUUCUCAAACACUUGGAUAUCCGCAUCCAAAUACAUCAUUUUGCUGUAUUCCUCAAAAUUCCAGAUUCUGAGCUUGGAAUAGUUGAUAACAUAGUAAGCCAUGGCAAAUUGAAUCUGGUUUUCAGGUGGAUAAAUGGGCUCAAUCUCACGCACUAUGCAGCCUUGAGACUUCAGGAUUUGACGAUGCUCCUCAGGGACAUCAGCCAAGAUUGCAACCACAAGAGGGUAUGCACUCUUCACCUUGCGUAAACCUUUAGCCAAACCAACCACUCCUUUGAUAUAGUCCCCAUUGCCAGCUAAAAAAGUCACAAAGGCCCUCCUGGAGUAGCCUGUGUUGAGGGUGGUCGAGACCUUGCCUGAACCUGAAAACACGUCUACAGGCACUUCUGGGGCCAUAGUUAGAUAGGUUAUUGUGAGUUCAAUGGAGGAUUUUUGAGGCAGAAGCUAAGAGGAAUUUUUGGGAAAGUAAAAACUAGCAACACUAAAGGAUGCCAACCCUACUAACCUUUAAUU